rnacentral:rRNA from 1 species
UACGUAGGUGGCAAGCGUUGUCCGGGUUUACUGGGCGUAAAGAGCGCGCAGGCGGUCGUUCAAGUCGCGUGUGAAAGCCCCCGGCUCAACUGGGGAGGGUCACGCGAUACUGAUCGACUCGAAGGCAGGAGAGGGUAGUGGAAUUCCCGGUGUAGUGGUGAAAUGCGUAGAUAUCGGGAGGAACACCAGUGGCGAAGGCGACUACCUGGCCUGUUCUUGACGCUGAGGCGCGAAAGCUAGGGGAGCAAACGGG